AUUUCACGUGAUGCUACCUAUACCGCCCCAGUCUGAAGUUUUCCAUGACUGAUUGGUUUUUAAUAUCUGAAGAAUU